GGGAGAGUAGCCCAGUGGAUAGAGCAACUGCCUUCUAAGCAGUAGGUCGCGGGUUCGAAUCCCGCCUCUCCCGCCA
rnacentral:tRNA from 1 species